UACGAAGGGUGCUAGCGUUGUUCGGAAUCACUGGGCGUAAAGCGCACGUAGGCGGAUGUGCCAGUCAGGGGUGAAAUCCCGGAGCUCAACUUCGGAACUGCCUUUGAUACAGCACGUCUUGAGUCCGAUAGAGGUGGGUGGAAUUCCUAGUGUAGAGGUGAAAUUCGUAGAUAUUAGGAAGAACACCGGUGGCGAAGGCGGCCCACUGGAUCGGUACUGACGCUGAGGUGCGAAAGCGUGGGGAGCAAACAGG
rnacentral:rRNA from 1 species